rnacentral:rRNA from 1 species
CCUACGGGAGACAGCAGUGGGGAAUAUUGGGCAAUGGAGGAAACUCUGACCCAGCAACGCCGCGUGAAUGAUGAAGGCCCUCGGAUUGUAAAGCUCUUUUCUAAGGGAAGAAGAAAGUGACGGUACCUUAGGAAUAAGCCUCGGCUAACAACGUGCCAGCAGCCGCGGUAAUACGGAGGACGCAAGCGUUAUCCGGAAUGACUGGGCGUAAAGGGUGCGUAGGUGGGUUGAGAAGUUAGUGGCGCAACUCCGGGGCUUAACUGCGAAACUGCUGCUGAAACUGUUGGACUUGAGUGCAGGAGGGGCAAGCGGAAUUCGUAGUGUAGCGGUGAAAUGCGUAGAUAUUAGGAAGAACCCCGGUGGCGAAGGCGGAUUGCUGGACUGUAACUGACGCUGAGGCACGAAAGCGUGGGUAGCAAACAGGAUUAGAUACCCUUGUAGUC